CUGUUGUUUUUGAUUUCUUGUAAACUACCUAAAAUGAUACUUAGAGAUUGAAAAAAGGAAAUCAGAACUUCUGUCGAAAAAUUCAAAGUAGUUCCUCCGUUGCUAUCGAAUAAAUGGAUCUCUGACAUUGGGACUAAAGGCUACAUCAAAUUAAGUUAAUAAUCGCCUUCAAAUCUAAAUUCUUUGGAGUCCUUUAACAUACCAAAUAGAUCGGAAGACUUGAAGAUGGAUAUAAAAGGUGUUCAUCAGAACAAGAAAAAAAUCCAAUCUAAUGACUCCUCUAGUUCUUUUACACAAUCUGGAAACUUGAAGCUUCAUAUCGAAUGUAUUCAUAAGAAGAUAAAAAUAUCCAAUGUUUCCAGAGAAUGUAAAUGAACUAAAGCAGUCACUACAUUGGUAUUUUUUUAUCUUCCCAUGAACACCUUCAAUAUGCUUGUUUAAGUCUCCAAACCGCUCUGAAUCUUUUACACGCUCUGGAGACUUGAAGAAGCAUAUUGAAGGUGUUGAUGGAAAGAUAAAAAAAUACCAAUGUAGUGACUGCUCUAGUUCUUUUACAUUCUCUGGAAACUUGAAGCAGCAUCUUGAAAAUAUUCAUGAGAAGAUGAAGAAAUUCCAAUACGGAUCCUCCUUUUGUACUUUUCGAAAAGCUUGCAGGUGCAUCAUGCAGCCCAUCAUAAGUAGACAAAGAAGCUAUGCUUCAAAUAAUAUAUACGUCCAACUUUUCCAAGAUUUCAAAAUAUAUUUAUACAUACGACUGACUUGGAAAAUAUUAAUUUAUUUAUUUUGUCAAUUUAUAUCUAUUAAUUAUUUAAAAUGCCUUUACCUUUCCUUUUUUUUUUUUUUUUGCUUCAAUGAUAAUUUGGGUUGUCCUAAGUUCAUAAUGGAGAAAAUAAAUUUGUAUCAUAAUAAUUAAAUAUCGAUGUUCAAAAUUGAAUUAGGAUAAAAUCUGUCAUUACAA
rnacentral:lncRNA from 1 species